UCAGUAAUCAAGCUCGGCUUGCUGUUGGAUCGUUCUGUCUGUAAAAAGACAGGUCCUAAAGAUAAUGACGGCGUCAGUUGGACCCUAGAUGCAACGAGCUUUAACUAGCACGCGUCUUAGUUGGCCCGUUUGACCCGGUCUUUUUUAACCAAUUUUAAUAGGUUGACCUCGGAUCAGGUAGGAAUACCCGCUGAACUUAA
rnacentral:misc_RNA from 1 species